rnacentral:lncRNA from 10 species
GAGCUCCCUUGUUGUUGCAUGGGAUGGCAAUGUCCACAUAGUGCAGAGGAGAAUCUGUGUUACACAGCGCAAUGGGUCUCGCUAUGUUGUGCAAGCUGGCCUCAAACUCCUGACCUCAAGCGAUCCUCUUUCCUCGGCCUCUCAAAGUACUGAGAUUACAAGCGUGAGCAACUGCACCCAGCCAACUAUAUUUCUGAUUUACUUUUUGUUGGGAAAAAAUCACUAGUAAGUGGACCUGUGCAGUUCAAACCCGUGUUGUUCAAGGGUCAAAUGUAUAGUACUUUCCUGAGUUCUGUGAGUUGUUCUAAUUAUAGAGCCUGAAGGAGGCUUAAGGGAUCCCUCCAAUUUAUAGCCAGUUGGUCAGAAAUGAAGAUGGCCUGGGACCCCCAACCCCAACUUGCAACAGGCAUCUGAAGUGAGGGCAGUCUUUUUGGGAACUGUGCCUCUAACUUGUGGGGUCUAUGCUAACUUUUGAGUGGUUAGCAUCAGAAUUGAAAUAUUGCAGUAUAUUCUAAGUCUCUAAGUUGAAGAUUUACUGCUAUUAACACAUUUUGAUAGAUCUAAAUUGUUGAUGCCAGAAAGAUUUUCAAUCUCAAGAAUAAUCGAGAGCCAACAAUUUAGCUUAUAGUCUGAAUUCAACAGCUUGUAUCUCAGCCACAAGUGAUAAUUUUAGGAAAAGAAGUGCCAAAUGUUACACUGAGAAGACAAAAGUCAACUUGGAAAUGAUCUCUCUCUUCAAGCAAAAUAAAAAACUAACAUGUAGUCUCCCUUGAAAACUUCUUGUUAUAAGCCUGCCAGCCAAGAAAUACAACCAGUGAGGGUUUGUCCUUCAGGCCCCAGAAAUACGUAUUGUUACGUAUUUUUGGUCAAUUUUAAGUCCUUGCCCUACCCACCACCCACAUCAAUUCUGUCCCCUUCAAUUAAUAUCCUACCUGAGUUGCUACUCCUAAUACUAUCUGAGCUCUAAUUAUUUUAAGUCAAAUAAAGUGCCUGGCCCUAA